rnacentral:rRNA from 1 species
UACGGGGGGAGCAAGCGUUGUUCGGAUUACUGGGCGUAAAGGGCGCGUAGGCGGCGUGACAAGUCACUUGUGAAAUCUCCGGGCUUAACUCGGAGCGGCCAAGUGAUACUGUCGUGCUAGAGUGCGGAAGGGGCAACCGGAAUUCUUGGUGUAGCGGUGAAAUGCGUAGAUAUCAAGAGGAACACCUGAGGUGAAGACGGGUUGCUGGGCUGACACGUGACGCUGAGGCGCGAAAGCUAGGGUAGCAAACGGG